AGUGAACGCUGGCGGUAGGCCUAACACAUGCAAGUCGAACGGCAGCACAGUAAGAGCUUGCUCUUACGGGUGGCGAGUGGCGGACGGGUGAGGAAUACAUCGGAAUCUACUUUUUCGUGGGGGAUAACGUAGGGAAACUUACGCUAAUACCGCAUACGACCUACGGGUGAAAGCAGGGGAUCUUCGGACCUUGCGCGAUUGAAUGAGCCGAUGUCGGAUUAGCUAGUUGGAGGGGUAAAGGCCCACCAAGGCGACGAUCCGUAGCUGGUCUGAGAGGAUGAUCAGCCACACUGGAACUGAGACACGGUCCAGACUCCUACGGGAGGCAGCAGUGGGGAAUAUUGGACAAAGGGCGCAAGCCUGAUCCAGCCAUACCGCGUGGGUGAAGAAGGCCUUCGGGUUGUAAAGCCCUUUUGUUGGGAAAGAAAAGCAGCAGGUUAAUACCCCGCUGUUCUGACGGUACCCAAAGAAUAAGCACCGGCUAACUUCGUG
rnacentral:rRNA from 1 species